GAUGAACGCUGGCGGCGUGCCUAAUACAUGCAAGUCGAGCGAACAGACGAGGAGCUUGCUCCUCUGACGUUAGCGGCGGACGGGUGAGUAACACGUGGAUAACCUCCCUAUAAGACUGGGAUAACUUCGGGAAACCGGAGCUUAUACCGGAUAAUAUAUUGAACCGCAUGGUUCAAUAGUGAAAGUCGGUUUUGCUGUCACUUAUAGCUGGAUCCCCGCCGCAUUAGCUAGUUGGUAAGGUAACGGCUUACCAAGGCUACGAUGCGUAGCCGACCUGAGAGGGUGGUCGGCCACCCUGGAACUGAGACACGGUCCAGACUCCUGCGGGAGGCAGCAGUAGGGAAUCUUCCGCAACGGGCGAAAGCCUUACGGAGCAACCCCGCGUGAGUGAUGAAGGUCUUCGGAUCGUAAAGCUCUGUUAUGAGGGAAAAACAAAUGUGUAAGGAGCUAUGCACGUCUUGACGGUACCUGAUCAGAAAGCCACGGCUAACUACGUG
rnacentral:rRNA from 1 species